GAGUUUGAUCAUGGCUCAGAACGAACGCUGGCGGCGUGGAUAAAACAUGCAAGUCGAACGAGAUCCCUGGAUAGCUUGCUAACUGGGGUGACAGUGGCGGACGGGUGCGUAACACGUGAGCAACCUGCCCUGAAGUGGGGGAUAGCUCUCCGAAAGGAGAAUUAAUACCGCAUGUGGUCUUCGGACCAAAGACGGCUUCGGCUGUCGCUUCAGGAUGGGCUCGCGGCCUAUCAGCUUGUUGGUGAGGUAACGGCUCACCAAGGCGAUGACGGGUAGCUGGUCUGAGAGGACGAUCAGCCUCACUGGAACUGAGACACGGUCCAGACACCUACGGGUGGCAGCAGUCGAGAAUCAUUCACAAUGGACGAAAGUCUGAUGGUGCAACGCCGCGUGGAGGAUGACGGCCUUCGGGUCGUAAACUCCUGUCAUCUGGGAGUAAGCCUUGUGCGUUAAUAGCGUGCAAGGUUGAUAGUACCAGAAGAGGAAGGGACGGCUAACUUCGUGCCAGCAGCCGCGGUAAUACGAAGGUCCCAAGCGUUGUUCGGAAUCACUGGGCGUAAAGCGUGCGUAGGCGGCGCGGAAAGUCAGGUGUGAAAUCUCUGGGCUCAACCCGGAAACUGCAUCCGAUACUCCCGCGCUAGAGUAAUGGAGGGGUAGCUGGAAUUCUCGGUGUAACAGUGAAAUGCGUAGAUAUCGAGAGGAACACUCGUGGCGAAGCGAGCUACUGGACAUUUACUGACGCUGAGGCACGAAAGCCAGGGGAGCGAAAGGGAUUAGAUACCCCUGUAGUCCUGGCAGUAAACGGUGUGCGCUUGGUGUGGGAGGAUUCGACCCCUUCUGUGCCGGAGCUAACGCGUUAAGCGCAC
rnacentral:rRNA from 1 species